rnacentral:rRNA from 1 species
UACGUAGGGUGCAAGCGUUGUCCGGAAUUAUUGGGCGUAAAGAGCUCGUAGGCGGUCUGUCGCGUCGGCUGUGAAAACUCGGGGCUCAACCCCGAGCCUGCAGUCGAUACGGGCAGACUAGAGUGCGGUAGGGGAGACUGGAAUUCCUGGUGUAGCGGUGAAAUGCGCAGAUAUCAGGAGGAACACCGGUGGCGAAGGCGGGUCUCUGGGCCGUAACUGACGCUGAGGAGCGAAAGCGUGGGGGAGCAAACAGG